GCACGUGAUAGUCUAGUACAACUACAGCUUUUGCAGGUGGCUUCUGGCAGGCCGGUAAGGGUGCGGCUAAGCUCUGCUUACGUGGGCCGAGCCUCGUGAUGUGACACUAGGAGUGGCCAGGCUCUCUGAGCGCCCUAAGGGGUAAAAAUAAUGGAAGAUAUCAAGUCGAAUUAAUUUUCAACAACAGUGAUAAAUGCAAUAUACAAACUUUAUUUAACAAAACAGGUAAAGUAAAACAGGCAUUUAUAUUAAGAAAAAAACUACAAGAAAAUUUAUCUUUAACAACUUAAAAUAACCCUACUUGCAGUUGCAUUUAACCGAGCUCUGUUGCUGUGAAGAAUACAGCUCAUGCACAGACAGGCUCCCAAGCUGGGCAUGAUGCCACACAGGUACCUCCCAGGACUACAAAAGCAGACAAAGCUGGAUCUCUUCGAACGUGGAGUUCCAUAAAACCCAGGGCUAUAGAGACCCCCUCAAAAAUGCCAAUAAAAAAGUACUCCAUGAUAUUAGAGAAGGGGUAAUAUCUACUGUUCCUAGUAACCACCCCUUGACAAAAACCACUGUUUU
rnacentral:lncRNA from 1 species